AUCCCACUUCUGACACCAGUUUGUUAGGAUGGCGAUCC
rnacentral:precursor_RNA from 1 species